AUGCUUAGGGCUGUUUUGAAGACUAAUAAGAAAAUGUGGGAGGAAUGCUUGCCUCAUAUUGAAUUUGCUUAUAAUCGUUCAUUGCAUUCUACUACUAAGAUGUGCCCUUUUGAAGUUGUGUAUGGUUUCCUACCUCGUGCACCUAUUGAUUUGUUGCCUCUUCCAUCUUCGGAGAAGGUUAAUUUUGAUGCUAAACAACGUGCUGAAUUGAUUUUAAAAAUGCAUGAGUUAACUAAGGAAAACAUUGAGCGUAUGAAUGCCAAAUAUAAACUUGCUGGAGAUAAGGGUAGAAAACAUGUUGUGUUUGCACCUGGAGAUCUUGUUUGGUUACAUUUGCGUAAGGAUAGAUUUCCUGAUUUGCGCAAAUCAAAGCUCAUGCCACGGGCUGAUGGUCCCUUUAAGGUGUUAGAGAAAAUAAAUGAUAAUGCAUAUAAACUUGAGCUGCCUGCAGAUUUUGGGGUUAGUCCCACUUUUAACAUUGCAGAUUUAAAGCCUUAUUUGGGUGAGGAAGAUGAGUUUCCGUCGAGAACGACUUCAUUUCAAGAAGGGGAGGAUGAUGAGGACAUCAAUACCAUUGUUACACCCACAGGCCCUGCUGCUAUACAUACUGGACCAAUUACUAGAGCUCGCGCACGCCAACUAAAUUACCAGGUACUUUCGUUUCUUGGUAAUGAUUCUAAUGUUCAUGAGAAUAUGAUGCUGCCUAAAUUGGAUACAUUUGUUUUGCUUACAAAUGAAGGGCCUAGCUUGGAGAAGGAUGAACAUUGGAGCAAGAACAAGCAUGGAGAUGAUGGCAUGCGCAAGGGGAACAAGAACGGAGUUACAAGUGAUGAUUUCAGGACUUUGAAGCCACCAUAA
rnacentral:rRNA from 1 species